GACGAACGCUGGCGGCGUGCUUAACACAUGCAAGUCGAACGAAGUGGCGAACGGGUGAGUAUUACGAGGGUAACUCGCCCUCCUUUUUGGGAUAAGCAAUGGAAACGGAGUCUAAUACCGAAUUCAGGGGGAUGGGCUCGCGGUCUAUCGGCUUGUUGGUGGGGUGAUGGCGUACCAAGGCGGUGACGGUUAGCCGGCCUGAGAGGCUGACCGGCCCCGAUGGGAGUGCGAGACUGCCCAGGCACGCACGGGAGGGGACAGUGGGGGAAUGUGCGGAAGUCUCGACAGGCUGAUGCGGCUACGCCGCGUGGGUUAUGAGGUCGUUCGGGUUGUUAACCUGUGUCGAUAGCGAACGGGUAAGUGGAGAAGAAGCGCCGGCUAACUACGUGCCAGCAGCCGCGGUAAUAC
rnacentral:rRNA from 1 species